rnacentral:rRNA from 1 species
CCUACGGGAGGCAGCAGUAGGGAAUCUUUCACAAUGGGCGAAAGCCUGAUGGAGCAACGCCGCGUGCAGGAUGAAGGCCCUCGGGUUGUAAACUGCUUUUAUAAGCGAGAAAUAUGAUGGUAACUUAUGAAUAAGGAUCGGCUAACUACGUGCCAGCAGCCGCGGUCAUACGUAGGAUCCGAGCAUUAUCCGGAGUGACUGGGUGUAAAGAGUUGCGUAGGUGGCAUAAUAAGUAGCUAGUGAAAUCUGGUGGCUCAACCAUUCAGACUAUUAGCUAAACUGUUAAGCUCGAGACCGUUAGGGGUAACUGGAAUUUCUAGUGUAGGAGUGAAAUGCGUAGAUAUUAGAAGGAACACCAAUAGCGGAGGCAGGUUACUGGGACGGUUCUGACACUAAGGCACGAAAGCGUAGGGAGCAAACGGGAUUAGAUACCCUUGUAGUC